AACAGAAGAACCACGCGCUGUCUGUGUGGUUUACAAGUUUCUUGGCGAUAUGGGGGGAAAGUUCCUCACAUACCAACGGAAAAUGGGCUUCAUAUACAUGCUGCUGUCUCAUAAUAUGGCGAAGACGAGUCACCUGAAGGCCUAACUCGCCAUAGAAGACUGAAAGAAUUGUCCUGCAGGAUGCUGUGUCCUGCAAUCCUGUGUGCUGUGCUACAGACGCGUGUGGAGGUCAACCCAAAAUGGGCACAGUCUCACCACAGAAGAGUGAAAGAGGAUCCUGGCAGGGAGACGGUAGUGUCCUGCAGAAUGGUGAUGGGCCAAUCUUACAAGAGACCACAGAAAACUGAUAUAGUGAACUAUAGAAACAACAGUGCCUGCUGCAGUAUAACGAGGACACCCUGAGCAGAGAGCUCCAAUAGACCCAGGUCCAGUGUCUUGGCAGGGUGAAAUGGCACUGAUAUGGUGUCCUGCAGGAUGCUGUGUCCUGCAAUCCUGUGUGCUGUGCUACAGACGCGUGUGGAGGUCAACCCAAAAUGGGCACAGUCUCACCACAGAAGAGUGAAAGAGGCUCCCAGAAGUGAGACUGAGUGCCUGUUGCAGUAUGACGAGGACGCAGUGACCAGAGACCUUCAGUAGACCCUGCUGGCAUGAUUGGCGUCUGAAGAAUAUGAAAUCAACAGCAAUGUUUAUAAUGUUGUACAUACCUGUAUAGUCUGUAUUAAAAGGCAAUACCUGUAGUAUUUUUCCUCUUACUUUCAUAUUUACCACAUAUUUACUAUGAAUUGACAACUUUUACUAAAAUCCAUUUUUGUAUGUGCCCUGACUAAAACUAUCCUUAAACCUAACCUGUCAGAGAUGUAACAACAACCUGCUCUUAGCAAUGUGGCAGCAGUCUACUUGGAUGCAGCGGGGAACAUAGAACCCUUUUUUGAAAAAGCAUUGUAUGUUUCUGAGUUUUAUGAAUUGUGCCCUUCCCAAACAUCAUGCAUAGGCUAAGCGUAUCUAUGACACGCUGAUUUGAACUCACUAUCGCGUGUGUCCAAUGCGCAUUUUCAAGUUAAGUCGUGCUCCACAACGCCCUGUGACAGGUUAGGUUUAGGGAUGGUUUUGGUUUAGGCACAAUUUAGGUAGAAAUUCGCCUAAUCUCGCUGUUCUUGGCAAAAGUAAAGCAGCAGAAACAUUACUUCACUGACAGGUUAGG